CCUACGGGAGGCAGCAGUAGGGAAUUUUCGUCAAUGGGGGGAACCCUGACCGAGCAACGCCGCGUGAACGAAGAAGUUACUCGUAAUGUUAAGCUUCUUUUAUAGGGAAGAAAGAGAUAUUUCACGGUACCUGAUGAAUAUGCCCCGGGUAACUACGUCCCAGCAGCCGGGGCAAUCCGCGGGGAUCGAGCGUUAUCUGGAAUUAUUGGGCGAAAGGGGUGCGUUGAUGGCGUAUUAAGUCUUUGGUAAAAAUGCUGGGCUCAACCCAGUAGGGCAAAAGAUACUGGAAGGCUAGAGUAUGACAGAGGCAAGUGGAACUACAGGUGUAGCGGUAAAAUGCUUAGAUAU
rnacentral:rRNA from 1 species